GGAGGGAAGGAGAGGUGGAGAGAAGGAAAGGUGGAGAGGUGCUGGGAAGGAGAGGUGGAGGGAAGGAGAGGUGGAGGGAAGGAGAGGUGGAGAGUUGGAGAGAAGGAGGGGUGGAGAGAAGGAGAGGUGGAGAGGUGGUGGGAAGGAGAGGUGGAGGGAAGGAGAGGUGGAGGGAAGGAGAGGUGGAGAGAAAGAGGGAAGGAGAGAAGGAGAGUUGGAGAGAAGGAGGGGUGGAGGGAAGGAGAGGUGGAGAGAAGGAGAGGUGGAGAGGUGGAGAGGUUGAGGGAAGGUGAGGUUGAGGGAAGGAAAGGUGGGCGAAGGACCGGUGGAGAGAAGGACAGGUGGAGAGGUGGAGG
ensembl:lncRNA